AUACACUGGUUCUAAUAUGAUCGCCGAAGUUAAGCAACGUCGAGCCUGGUUAGUACUUACAUGGAUGACCUCUUAGGAAUACCAGAUGCUGUAA